rnacentral:tRNA from 1 species
GCCCGGGUGGUGGAAUGGCAGACACGAGAGACUUAAAAUCUCUUGUCCUCUAAGGACGUGUGGGUUCGACUCCCACCCCGGGCACCA